GUUUGAUCUCAGACUGCUGUGCUAGCAAUCAGCGAGACUCCGUGGGCGUAGGACCCUCCGAGCCAGGUGCGGGAUAUAAUCUCGUGGUGCGACGCUUUUUAAGCCCUUCAGAAAAGCGCAGUGUUCGGGUGGGAGUGACCCGAUUUUCCAGGUGCCGCCCGUCACCCCUUUCUUUGACUCAGAAAGGGAACUCCCUGACCCCUUGCGCUUCCCAAGUGAGGCAAUGCCUCGCCCUGCUUCGGCUCGCGCACGGUGCGCGCACCCGCUGACCUGCACCCACUGUCUGGCACUCCUUAGUGAGAUGAACCCGGUACCUCAGAUGGAAAUGCAGAAAUCACCCGUCUUCUGCGUCGCUCACGCUGGGAGCUGUAGACCGGAGCUGUUCCUAUUCGGCCAUCUUGGCUCCUCCUGUAACAAUUUCUUGAGUUCUAGGAAGUCAGCAUGAAUCGGCUUUAUGUUCCCUGCCUCCAGACCCUAUUCUCCUGCCUCACAGGGAGUGACCUCACAGAAAGGCAUUUUUUUUUUUUAAUUGGAAGUUUCUUUCAAACUCUGCCUGCUUUUAGAUGGCUCCUCUUAGAACUAUGCAUCUCUCCUGAUACUUGGAUGCUUUUCCUCUGACUGAUGAAGAUCCUGAAUACCAAAGAGGGCCGCUGACAGGUCUAGGAGUACACUUCUAGCACCUAGCAGAGAGAGGCUUCACUACAUCAUGCUUCCUGACAUCUCUCCCUUUGAAGAGCAGUCAGACUCCUGCUUUGCUCUUCAGACUUAAUUUGGGGGUUUAACAGGUGAGGUUGCUGGGGGAACUCUUUUACAACAUCUCUCUGAAAGAAUCCGGGCUGCCAGUUUCAUUUGGUUUGGGUGUCAGUAGCAUGAUGGAAAGACAAAAAAACACAACUUGACAUCUGCAGAAAUGGGUUCAAAUUUUACCUGCAACUCACCAAUUCUGUGGCCUUGGUUCAGCAAUUAAACUCCCUAAAAUUCAGUUUUUUCUUUGUAAAAUGGGGUUAUGAACAGUACCUACUUCAAAAUGUGUUUGUGAAGAUUAAAAAAGUUAACAUAAAGAGUUUAGAAGAGUGUCUG
rnacentral:lncRNA from 10 species